rnacentral:rRNA from 1 species
GCACAGGAUGCACCGUAGUUUACUACACCGUAUUCUGUGAGUUGCGAACGGGUGAGUAACGCGUAGGUAACCUGCCUGGUAGCGGGGGAUAGCUAUUGGAAACGAUAGCUAAUACCGCAUAAGAACAUUUACUGCAUGGUAGAUGUUUAAAAGGUGCAAAUGCAUCACUACCAGAUGGACCUGCGUUGUAUUAGCUAGUAGGUGAGGUAACGGCUCACCUAGGCGACGAUACAUAGCCGACCUGAGAGGGUGAUCGGCCACACUGGGACUGAGACACGGCCCAGACUCCUACGGGAGGCAGCAGUAGGGAAUCUUCGGCAAUGGGGGGAACCCUGACCGAGCAACGCCGCGUGAGUGAAGAAGGUUUUCGGAUCGUAAAGCUCUGUUGUUAAGGAAGAACGAGUGUGAGAAUGGAAAGUUCAUACUGUGACGGUACUUAACCAGAAAGGGACGGCUAACUACGUGCCAGCAGCCGCGGUAAUACGUAGGUCCCGAGCGUUGUCCGGAUUUAUUGGGCGUAAAGCGAGCGCAGGCGGUUAGAUAAGUCUGAAGUUAAAGGCAGUGGCUCAACCAUUGUAGGCUUUGGAAACUGUUUAACU